rnacentral:rRNA from 1 species
GACGAACGCUGGCGGCGUGCCUAAUACAUGCAAGUAGAACGCUGAAGGAGGAGCUUGCUUCUAUGGAUGAGUUGAGAACGGGUGAGUAACGCGUAGGAAACCUGCCUGGUAGCGGGGGAUAACUAUUGGAAACGAUAGCUAAUACCGCAUAAUAGUAGAUGUUGCAUGACAUUUGCUUAAAAGGUGCAAUUGCAUCACUAACAGAUGGACCUGCGUUGUAUUAGCUAGUUGGUGAGGUAACGGGUCACCAAGGCGAGGAUACAUAGCCGACCUGAGAGGGUGAUCGGCCACCUGGGGGCUGGGCCACCGCCCAGGCUCCUACGAGAGGCAGCAGUAGGGAACCUUAGGCAAUAGACGGAAGUCUGACCGAGCAACUCCGCGUGAGUGAAGAAGGUUUUCGGAUCGUAAAGCUCUGUUGUAAGAUAAGAACCGCUGUGGCAGUUGAAAGUGCACUCUGUGACGGUAUCUUAUCAGAAAGGGACGGCUAACUACGUG